UGGAGCCUCUGACUGCUCUGUGAGUCUCCACAGAGACACUUGGGAGGGACAGGAGGCUGCUCGGGCCUCUGCCUGUGACUCAGCCCACGGUCUCCCCAGCUGGAGGGGUACAUCCUGAUCAUCUUGAGACCAGACCUGCUGCGGGACCAGCAAAACACAACCCCCAUGCUGCAGAACCAGACCCAGGCGUGGACAAACAUGGAGGAUCAGGUCCUGAACCAGAAGUCAUGCAUGGAGAUCCAGAUGCUAGAGGUUUUCCUGACCAUUGCCAAGCUAGAGAAGCAGCUACAGGAGCAGAGUUAUGAGCUCAGCCAGCCGCAUGG
rnacentral:lncRNA from 1 species